GCCGCCGAACGAGGACGAAGUCAUCUGCUACAUCCUCAUCGGGCUAGAUAUGGAGUAUCAGCCCCUCGUGUCGGCCCUCGACGCCCGCACUGAACUAGUCACCCUCGGCGAUCUCUGUGCUCAGAUGAGCAACUUUGAUC
rfam:Hordeum vulgare subsp. vulgare, WGS project CAJW01000000 data, contig: morex_contig_1562054